CCAGUGGAAUGUUAGAAUACAUAGGGCAGACAGAGGUUUGCUGCUCUGGGGCUUUAUGCUUAGAAGGACGUGAUCAUCUAGAGAAGAACAUGAUGGAGCUAAGACUCUUCAGUCAUUACAAACCAGGGGACCCCAGGGCAGUCGGCAGCCAGACACUCUGCAGAGCAACAUUUGACACACCCCCAAAUUGUUAUUAAAAGAGAACCGGCCAUUAGGAUUCUGCUAUCAUUUGGAGAGAUGACUCAGCGGUUAAGUGCACUGACUGCUCUUGCAGAGGACCUGGGUUCAGUUCCCAGCACACAGAU